UGUGCCGCCUGGGUCCCAAGUUUCCCUGGGGAGUGACACAGGGACAGGAGUGUCAAAGAUCUAGCAGGCCGUAUGACACGUCCAGCAAUUAAAGAAGAAUUAAGAAAUGCUUGUCCUUGAAGAUGCCAAGGGCGGUGUGAUUCUUGCCAACUGUAUAUCAAUGUGGAGUAUUUAGGGGCCACCUACGGGAAGACCGAAGCUGAAAGUGACACUCCUGUGGACAAGAGAAGCAGUGUCUUCCUCCCUCUUUUUGGGUCAAAUAAAGUUCAGAGGCUCAGAAGCCAGAGGUGGUCUCCAAAGCCAAUGAAGUCUAAAUUAGCAAAAA